rnacentral:lncRNA from 1 species
GCAAAGAUAUUUCUGUCUAGGUAAUAUGUAUGAAUAAGCUAACUAAACAUUUUUCCAUUGAAUUUUUUUGUUCUAUGCUAAUAAACAAACCAGUGACUUGCUGUUGAUAACAUAGAAACUAAAUGUUGUGACAUUUAUGCCUUAGAAAUGCUUUUUUUAUUUUUACAGACCUAAAACAGCUGUUUGUAUUAUUCAUCCAACGAUGCCAUUUAUUUCAUCAGCAGGAAUCACAACCUUUGUUUUGUGUUUUCUCUGUUACUUUGGUUGGUUCAUGAAAUUGAGUCAUUGGGAUCCUGAGGGCGAUGUGGAGUGGGCAGCCUUGGUUUUGUGGCCUUUGAUUUGCCCUUCAGUGUCCAUUGACACGUGAAUUUGUUUAAAUCCCUUAUAUCAC